AUUAAACGCUGGCGGCAUGCCUUACACAUGCAAGUCGAACGGCAGCACGGGGGCAACCCUGGUGGCGAGUGGCGGACGGGUGAGUAAAGCAUCGGAACGUAUCCUGGAGUGGGGGAUAACGUAGCGAAAGUUACGCUAAUACCGCAUAUUCUGUGAGCAGGAAAGCAGGGGAUCGCAAGACCUUGCGCUCUGGGAGCGGCCGAUGUCGGAUUAGCUAGUUGGUGGGGUAAAGGCCUACCAAGGCGAUGAUCCGUAGCGGGUCUGAGAGGAUGAUCCGCCACACUGGGACUGAGACACGGCCCAGACUCCUACGGGAGGCAGCAGUGGGGAAUUUUGGACAAUGGGCGGAAGCCUGAUCCAGCCAUGCCGCGUGAGUGAAGAAGGCCUCGGUUGUAA
rnacentral:rRNA from 1 species